GAUGAACGCUGGCGGCGUGCCUAAUACAUGCAAGUCGAGCGAACAGACGAGGAGCUUGCUCCUCUGACGUUAGCGGCGGACGGGUGAGUAACACGUGGAUAACCUACCUAUAAGACUGGGAUAACUUCGGGAAACCGGAGCUAAUACCGGAUAACAUGUUGAACCGCAUGGUUCAACAGUGAAAGACGGUCUUGCUGUCACUUAUAGAUGGAUCCGCGCCGCAUUAGCUAGUUGGUAAGGUAACGGCUUACCAAGGCAACGAUGCGUAGCCGACCUGAGAGGGUGAUCGGCCACACUGGAACUGAGACACGGUCCAGACUCCUACGGGAGGCAGCAGUAGGGAAUCUUCCGCAAUGGGCGAAAGCCUGACGGAGCAACGCCGCGUGAGUGAUGAAGGUCUUCGGAUCGUAAAACUCUGUUAUUAGGGAAGAACAAAUGUGUAAGUAACUAUGCACGUCUGGACGGUACCUAAUCAGAAAGCCACGGCUAACUACGU
rnacentral:rRNA from 1 species